AUGGGGAGAUGCAACCAGAAGGAAGCAAGGAGGGUGCCUCGGGGUCGGAGCCUCCAUGACGACGUCGGGUGUGCAUCGGCCGUCGGACGGACCUCAGAUAAGGAGAACAGACGAGGCAAGGAAUCACCACCGCCUCCCCCGGCGUCGUGUGCCGGAACCACCACUGUGCCUCGAACUCGUCCUCAGGUCGCUGCUGCACCGCGCGGGAAUAAGAGGGCAAAGCUCCUAGCCGAGGCCGCCGGCCGCCGCGCCGCGAAGAACAUGGGCGCGGUUGCUGCUCUCCUCAUCCGCAUCGAGGUCGCAGCUGCUGCUCCCCUCAUCCGGAUCGAGGCAGCACCUCCCCUCCAUGGUCGUCCUCCUCGGUUGCGGCCGUUUCUCCGUCGUCGACCGGCAGAGACGGCGGCCUCUGCCUCCGUCCUCCACCAUCUCCGCCUCAAGCUCAGAUCCAAUCGCCCGUGA
rnacentral:rRNA from 1 species